rnacentral:rRNA from 1 species
AUUGAACGCUGGCGGCAUGCCUUACACAUGCAAGUCGAACGGUAACAGGUCUUCGGAUGCUGACGAGUGGCGAACGGGUGAGUAAUACAUCGGAACGUGCCCGAUCGUGGGGGAUAACGAAGCGAAAGCUUUGCUAAUACCGCAUACGAUCUACGGAUGAAAGCAGGGGACCGCAAGGCCUUGCGCGAACGGAGCGGCCGAUGGCAGAUUAGGUAGUUGGUGGGAUAAAAGCUUACCAAGCCGACGAUCUGUAGCUGGUCUGAGAGGACGACCGGCCACACUGGGACUGAGACACGGCCCAGACUCCUACGGGAGGCAGCAGUGGGGAAUUUUGGACAAUGGGCGAAAGCCUGAUCCAGCCAUGCCGCGUGCAGGAUGAAGGCCUUCGGGUUGUAAACCGCUUUUGUACGGAACGAAAAGACUCUGGUUAAUACCUGGGGUCCAUGACGGUACCGUAAGAAUAAGCACCGGCUAACUACAUGCCAGCCGCCGCUGUAA